UCCGGCUUAUCACCGGCAGUUUCUUUAGAGUGCUCAACUAAAUGGUAGCAACUAAAGACGAGGGUUGCGCUCGUUGCGGGGCUUAACCCAACAUCUCACGACACGAGCUGACGACAGCCAUGCAGCACCUCGACUUCAGUCCCUUGCGGGAGGCCCCGUGUUUCCACAGGCUUGCCAAAGCCGUUCGAGCCCAGGUAAGGUUCUUCGCGUUGCGUCGAAUUAAACCACAUGCUCCACCGCUUGUGCGGGCCCCCGUCAAUUCCUUUAUGUUUUAACCUUGCGGCCGUACUCCCCAGGCGGUGGGCUUACCGCGUUAGCUCCGGCACCGAGGGGCAAGCCCCCCAACGCCCAGCCCACAUCGUUUAGGGCGUGGACUAC
rnacentral:misc_RNA from 1 species